ACGGGUGAGUAACGCGUGAGUAACCUGCCUUUCAGAGGGGGAUAACGUUCUGAAAAGAACGCUAAUACCGCAUAACAUCAAUUUAUCGCAUGAUAGGUUGAUCAAAGGAGCAAUCCGCUGGAAGAUGGACUCGCGUCCGAUUAGCCAGUUGGCGGGGUAACGGCCCACCAAAGCGACGAUCGGUAGCCGGACUGAGAGGUUGAACGGCCACAUUGGGACUGAGACACGGCCCAAACUCCUACGGGAGGCAGCAUG
rnacentral:rRNA from 1 species